UACGGGGGGGGCAAGCGUUGUUCGGAAUUACUGGGCGUAAAGGGCUUGUAGGCGGCCAACUAAGUCAUACGUGAAAUCUCUCGGCUUAACCGGGGAACUGCGUCUGAUACUGGAUGGCUUGAGAUUGGGAGAGGGAUGCGGAAUUCCAGGUGUAGCGGUGAAAUGCGUAGAUAUCUGGAGGAACACCGGUGGCGAAGGCGGCAUCCUGGACCAACACUGACGCUGAGGAGCGAAAGCCAGGGGAGCAAACGGG
rnacentral:rRNA from 1 species